AUUGAACGCUGGCGGCAGGCUUAACACAUGCAAGUCGAACGAGUGGCGGACGGGGGAGUAAUGCUUGGGAAUCUAGCUUAUGGCGGGGGAUAACUCAGGGAAACAGUAGCUAAUACCGCGUACCAUAGGGUGAGCCAAAGUGGGAUUAGGUAGUGGGUGAGGUAAAGGCUCACCAAGCCGACGAUCUCUAUCUGGUCUGAGAGGAUGACCAGCCACACUGGGACUGAGACACGGCCCAGACUCCUACGGGAGGCAGCAGUGGGGAAUAUUGCGCAAUGGGGGCAACCUGACGCAGCCAUGCCGCGUGAAUGAAGAAGGCCUUCGGGUUGUAAAGUUCUUUCGGUAGCGAGGCGUUAACUACAGAAGAAGCACCGGCUAACUCCGUGCCAGCCGCCGCGGUAAUUC
rnacentral:rRNA from 1 species